rfam:Dipodomys ordii contig_13998, whole genome shotgun sequence.
GGAUGUGAGGGCAAUCUGGCUGCGACAUCUGUCACCCCAUUGAUCGCCAGGGUUGAUUCGGCUGAUCUGGCUGGCUAGGCGGGUGUCCCUUCCUCCCUCACCGCUCCAUGUGCGUCCCUCCCGAAGCUGCGCGCUCGGUCGAAGAGGACGACUAUCCCGGAUAGAGGAGGACCGACCGGUCUUCGGUCAAGGGUAUACGAGUAGCUGCGCUCCCCUGCUAGAACCUCCAAACAAGCUCUCAAAAGCUCAGGGAGGCUGGGAAUAUGACUUAGUGGUAGAGUGCUUCCCUCGCAUACAUGAAGCCCAGG